rnacentral:rRNA from 1 species
UACGGAAGGCAGCAGUGGGGAAUAUUGCACAAUGGGCGCAAGCCUGAUGCAGCCAUGCCGCGUGUAUGAAGAAGGCCUUCGGGUUGUAAAGUACUUUCAGUCGUGAGGAAGGUGUUAAGGUUAAUAACCUUAGCAAUUGACGUUAGCGACAGAAGAAGCACCGGCUAACUCCGUGCCAGCAGCCGCGGUAAUACGGAGGGUGCGAGCGUUAAUCGGAAUUACUGGGCGUAAAGGGCACGCAGGCGGUUAAUUAAGUUGGAUGUGAAAAUCCCCGGGCUUAACCUGGGAAUGGCAUUCAAGACUGGUUAGCUAGAGUCUUGUAGAGGGGGUAGAAUUCCAUGUGUAGCGGUGAAAUGCGUAGAGAUGUGGAGGAAUACCGGUGGCGAAGGCGGCCCCUGGACAAAGACUGACGCUCAUGUGCGAAAGCGUGGGGAGCAAACAGGGAUUAGAUACC